AGGCUCCAAAAGCUUGUUACUUGCUUGUAGUCAAACAGAAGGCAGAGCUGCGAAUCAAAUCCAGGUUUGUCUCGACAUGCCACUAGCUCAUACUUCCCUUGGAUCAGCCACUAAAUGGCUUUCACUCCAGUGAGCAGCGACCAGCACCAGAAUUAUGGAACAUUUAUCAACAGCCUAAAAUAAAGACAACACGAGGAGAAUUUGGUUGCUUAUAUAGAUUCAAGGUACAAUCCUGCUGGAUUCUGGGAUUACAGGACUGUAGACAAAAGAGAAAUCAUCAUGGACUGUUCACUGGACAAAAUUUCAUGGAGAGGAGAAGACCUUUGGCGGUUCAUGGAUGUUCUAUAAUAAAAGAAAUAUCACAGUGUGCAUGCACAGAAGUACGACCAUGUGAAGAGGUAGCAAGAGAGCAGCAAUCUACAAGCCAAGGAAAGAGGCCACAGAGGAAACCAACCCUGCCAGCAUCUUGAUCUUGGACUUCCAGCUUCCAGAACUAACCAGGGACCCCACUCCCAUGCCGACAGUAUGGGCUGCUGUCUUCAGGACCAUUGCAAGUGUCCUUCACGGUUCGGUUCACAUUUCACAAGCCCCAUGAAGUCUAUCUGGAUUUUCGAUGGAUGUCUUGCCUUUUCCUCUACACACUACAGGAAGAGUGGCCACCCCUGCCAAGGGCCUAGUAUAGUACCCUAUACAUGUAGCUGAUCAGUUGAUUGUUACUGAUCAUAUGUAUCCUGCAUCAUGUUAUAAAAAAUUAACACAGUGCUUGGCACAUACUUGUACUGAAUGUCAGAGCUGCAGCAUGAUCUGGAGGCUUUCCUCGCUUUCUUCUGCUUCCCCUCCCUUGAUCCUUCACAGGCAUUUUCCUCAAUACAUCUCUUGCCUGGCUAA
rnacentral:lncRNA from 1 species